UUGAGCGAUUUACUUCGGUAAAGAGCGGCGGACGGGUGAGUAACGCGUGGGUAACCUACCCUGUACACACGGAUAACAUACCGAAAGGUAUGCUAAUACGGGAUACUAUAUUUGAGAGGCAUCUCUUGAAUAUCACAGGUGAGCCAGUACAGGCUGGACCCGCGUCUGAUUAGCUAGUUGGUAAGGUAACGGCUUACCAAGGCGACGAUCAGUAGCCGACCUGCGAGGGUGAUCGGCCACAUUGGACCUGAGACACGGUCCAAACUCCUACGGGAGGCAGCAGUGGGGAAUAUUGCACAAUGGGCGAAAGCCUGAUGCAGCAACGCCGCGUGAGUGAUGAAGGCCUUCGGGUCGUAAAACUCUGUCCUCAAGGAAGAUAAUGACGGUACUUGAGGAGGAAGCCCCGGCUAACUACGUGCCAGCAGCCGCGGUAAUACGUAGGGGGCUAGCGUUAUCCGGAUUUACUGGGCGUAAAGGGUGCGUAGGCGGUCUUUCAAGUCAGGAGUGAAAGGCUUCGGCUCAACCGUAGUAAGCUCUUGAAACUGGGAGACUUGAGUGCAGGAGAGGAGAGUGGAAUUCCUAG
rnacentral:rRNA from 1 species